GCGACCCCAGURAGGCGGGACUACCCGCUUAAUUUAAGCAUA
rnacentral:rRNA from 1 species